rnacentral:tRNA from 1 species
UUCAGAAUUGUGCAGCGGAUAGCACGUCGACCUAAUACGUCGAAUAUCGCAGGUUCGAAUCCUGCUUCUGAAU